CGUUUCCAUGGCGCUAAUUAGGCCUUAAUGAGGCGCUGACUUCCGAGUUGGGGGCGUCGCCGCCAUGACAGCUACCAGCCCCCCCCCGGACCAUUACCGGGUUCUCGGGGUCCCACCCGACGCCAGCCAGGAACAGAUCCGGGAUGCGUUCAUCAGGGGCUGCAAGGAGGUGAGACCCCAUAGAGACCCCAUAGCGACCCUAUAGACCCUAUAGAGCCCAUAGCGACCCUAUAGACCCUAUAGAGCCCAUAGCGACCCUAUAGACCCUAUAGAGCCCAUAGCGACCCUAUAGACCCUAUAGACCCCAUAAAGACCCUAUAGACACCAUAGGGACCCCAUAGAGCCCAUAACGACCCCAUAGACCCCAUAGGGACCCCAUAGACCUCAUAGGGACCCUAUAGGCACCAUAGGGACCCUAUAGACCCCAUAGGGACACUAUAGACACCAUAACGACCCUAUAGAGCCCAUAGCGACCCUAUAGAGCCCAUAGGGACCCUAUAGAGCCCAUAGGGACCCUAUAGACACCAUAGGGACCCUAUAGACACCAUAGGGACCCUAUAGAGCCCAUAGCGACCCUAUAGACUCCAUAAAGACCCUAUAGAGCCCAUAG
rnacentral:lncRNA from 1 species